GCCCGUGGGGGGUGCUAUAAUGCAGUCGAGCGACAGAGAAGGAGCUUGCUCCUUUGACGUUAGCGGCGGACGGGUGAGUAACACGUGGGCAACCUACCCUAUAGUUUGGGAUAACUCCGGGAAACCGGGGCUAAUACCGAAUAAUCUAUGUCACCUCAUGGUGACAUACUGAAAGACGGCAUCUCGCUGUCGUUAUAGGAUGGGCCCGCGGCGCAUUAGCUAGUUGGUGAGGUAAUGGCUCACCAAGGCGACAAUGCGUAGCCGACCUGAGAGGGUGAUCGGCCACACUGGGACUGAGACACGGCCCAAACUCCUACGGGAGGCAGCAGUAGGGAAUCUUCCACAAUGGGCGAAAGCCUGAUGGAGCAACGCCGCGUGAGUGAAAAAGGUUUUCGGAUCGUAAAACUCUGUUGUAAGGGAAAAACAAGUACAGUAGUAACUGGCUGUACCUUGACGGUACCUUAUUAAAAAGCCACGGCUAACUACGUGCCAGCAGCCGCGGUAAUACGUAGGUGGCAAGCGUUGUCCGGAAUUAUUGGGCGUAAAGCGCGCGCAGGCGGUCCUUUAAGUCUGAUGUGAAAGCCCACGGCUCAACCGUGGAGGGUCAUUGGAAACUGGGGGACUUGAGUGCAAAAAAGGAAAGUGGAAUUCCAAUUGUAGCGGUGAAAUGCGUAGAGAUUUGGAGGAACACCAGUGGCGAAGGCGACUUUCUGGUCUGUAACUGACGCUGAGGCGCGAAAGCGUGGGGAGCAAACAGGAUUAGAUACCCUGGUAGUCCACGCCGUAAACGAUGAGUGCUAAGUGUUAGGGGGUUUCCGCCCCUUAGUGCUGCAGCUAACGCAUUAAGCACUCCGCCUGGGGGAGUACGGUCGCAAGACUGAAACUCAAAGGAAUUGACGGGGGCCCGCACAAGCGGUGGAGCAUGUGGUUUAAUUUCGAAGCAACCGCGAAGAACCUAACCAGGU
rnacentral:rRNA from 1 species